AAAGAAAUGAAUAAUGAUACUUAUUUAUAAUUUGCAUAGCAUGACCAAAUUGUCGGGCUGGCUUCACCACUGAGCCUAAUACAGAAAUGAACAUUGAUCUGUACAUAUAAUUGUUACCCAUCUUUAAUAUAUAAUAUAUUAGAAUUAAAUUACAAUUCUAAUAUAUAUUAAAAUAAUAUAAAUUUGUACAUAUUUGUUUUUAUUUACAAUUCAUGGAUGUUCGUCAGUCAAUUGAUACAUUAAACCCAUUUAAUAAAAUUAAAUUUAGUUUUAUACCUAGAAAAUAUACAUAUAAAUAUACAAUAAAAUUGGCAAUUUAAAACGCGUUUGGACAUUUAUGGUUAAUUUGUUAUUGAUUGCAUAGUAAGCCUAAUAAUUAAAUUUUCACUUGCUAAUUUUUUAGUUCGAGUUAAUUAGUCAUAUUACGGUUGUCGCAAUUUAUGCUAGAGAUGCAUUCAUUCGUUCGUUCAUUCAUAAACUUUGAUCAAGGCAAGAAAAACAAAAUCCAUCACCACAGCUGGAAAGAGCAUGUUAAAAUUAGUAAAAUUGCAAAGUUUGGUUGCGAAACGUUGUAAAAUGCGGAAAAUAUAGCCCUGCGAAAUUUGCAAAUUUUGUAUUAAUUUGUGUUACGCGCGGGAAAAUGCACAACUUUAAUUUCGGCCCAUUUUACAACAUUUCGCAAGCAAACUUGGAACGAUGGAUUUUGUUUCCUCUUGUCUAGAUCAAAAUUUAGUCUACAGCCGGAAUCACCCAUUAUGUGCUGAUAAAUUUAACAGCUUUUAACGCUGCGCAUAAAACAGUAAAUCUCUUUGUUCUGCCGGUCAGAUGAACUAUUUUUAAUCGAACACAGUCAACUGACGCGACUGAUUUCCAAGUCGUUUUAACUUUCAAUCAGAAUUUUCAUGUACAGUUUAUGCAGUUUUAACAUGCUCGUGCGAUUACAAUACAUUCUAAACUCCCAGAGGUAACGAAGUUUGGGUGUUUACAACAAAAGGGUGAUUUCUAAAGGUUUAUUGUUUUUGUACUGGAUAGCUUUGCGUAGCGGCGCGAAAAAGCACCUAUAGCCGAAUCAAAAUGUACAACUUUCAGAAGCUGAGCGAAACAACAUCUCUCCGUUGCAAUAAUUCCUCUGAAAAUAGCGUUCAAAAUAUCGAACCUGCGAUUCUGGUACAGCGCUCUAACCAAAGGUCAACUGUCUCUCUGUAGCUCAGUUGGUUAGAGCUCGACAACUGUCUCUCUGUAGCUCAGUUGGUUAGAGCUCGACAACUGUCUCUCUGUAGCUCAGUUGGUUAGAGCUCGACAACUGUCUCUCUGUAGCUCAGUUGGUUGGAGCUCGACAACUGUCUCUCUG